AGAAUAAAUUCAAUGAUUUUGCCUCUCUUGUUUCUCUCUCAUUGCCUUAGGUUUCAUUUCAACUUCUUGCUUUCUAGAGACGCUUCCCAAAAUACACGUGGCAGUUUCUAAAAAUGUCCCGGCAAACUCCAGCAUGGGUUUUAUUUAAGCGUGUGCCUUGUAAAGAGCUCGGAGGCUUUUUUUCAGAAAUCUCCGAGGAAACGGUUCGAAUGUAGAUGUGCCCGGGGAAGUUGAGCCCGCCGGUCCCAAAAGAAAUCCGAGAAAACCAGUGAUUCCACCUGGAGGGACCGGUGCUAGAAGGUAGCCGUUGGAGAAGACGAAAGUUUGACCAGAAAUGUUUGACUGUCGUCGUGAUCAUCAACGGUAUUUUUCGAGCACUGUACUAGGCAGACAGGGAAGAGACGGAAGAAGUUUGACUCGAUUCCUGCCCGCUGGAAGCUUCCAUCCUAAUGGGCGAGCUGGUUCCAGUCACUGCCCUGAUAGAAGCCCGACCGCCGCUCCAGAGGGUGACCAGCGGACCAAAUUAAGGCCCCCAUGGAAAGAGGGCAAAGCCCCAUGGACUGAAAAACGGAGUUUCGGGAUCUUUUCCAACGGCCGCCACCUCCGCCGUCAACGAAACACAAUGGUGUUCCGGCAAACUUUCCACCUCGGAUAAAUCUACAUAAAUCUAGAUGCUUUUAGA